CAUGAUUACCUUUUAACAUUCUGUGAACUUUUUAUUUUACUAUUCGUGUAUAUCAAUCAAUUGAUUUUUAUUACACUGUCAUUCGAUGAACAUUAGAUAGUUGGCUUGAAUCUAUAUGUGAUUCAUUCUCAGCUGAUUGUAGUAAUACAAUCACCCAAAUAAUAUAGAAA
rnacentral:misc_RNA from 1 species